rnacentral:lncRNA from 1 species
AGAAAAGAACAUCAAUGGAAUCAAAACAGGAGAACUAAAUCAAUGGAUCAAAGCCGGACUCAUUUUUCAGAUUUGACACUAAAUUGUCUAAUGUAGAAUAGCUUUUUAAUUUUAUUUAAAGCACACUUACCAUUCAUCACACGGCAAAUUAGAACAAUUAUAAGAUGAGUAAAUGAGAGGCCAUAGAGAAACAGACUGAAAAUUAAGAUAUCAAUACGAAGCACCACAUGCUUCUCACCUGGCCUUAUUUUACAUACAGUGCGAAAAAGAAAGACAAUGGACCAUCAAUAAGAAAUUCGAAUACAAGAGCCUGAUAAAAACAAAAAAGAUGGUUGAAACACUGCAAACGUUAAAAACCACCUGCUUUUAGCUAUAAAUUCGAACCAUGGAUUCAC